rnacentral:rRNA from 1 species
UACGAAGGGGGCUAGCGUUGUUCGGAAUUACUGGGCGUAAAGCGCGCGCAGGCGGUCUUCCAAGUCAGUGGUGAAAGCCCGGAGCUCAACUCCGGAACUGCCAUUGAAACUGUUGGACUUGAGUACGAGAGAGGUGAGUGGAAUUCCCAGUGUAGAGGUGAAAUUCGUAGAUAUUGGGAAGAACACCGGAUGGCGAAGGCGGCACACUGCUCGGUAACUGACGCUCAGG